rnacentral:siRNA from 1 species
GUGAGCAAGCCAAACCAUUAUGG